rnacentral:rRNA from 1 species
AACGAACGUUGGCGGCGUGGAUUAGGCAUGCAAGUCGCGCGAAUCCCAGCAAUGGGGGAAGCGGCGUAAGGGGCAGUAAGGCGUGGACGACCUACCCGGCGGUCGGGGAUAGCCCGUCGAGAGACGGGGUAAUACCCGAUGACGUCGCAAGACCAAAGCUCCGGCACCGUCGGAGGGGUCCACGUGGUAUCAGCUAGUUGGUGGGGUAACGGCCCACCAAGGCUAAGACGCCUAGCGGGUGUGAGAGCACGACCCGCGCCACUGGCACUGAGACACUGGCCAGACACCUACGGGUGGCUGCAGUCGAGGAUCUUCGGCAAUGGGGGCAACCCUGACCGAGCGACGCCGCGUGGGCGACGAAGGCCUUCGGGUUGUAAAGCCCUGUCGAGGGGGAGAAAAGCCGAAAGGUUUGAUCCAUCCCUGGAGGAAGCACGGGCUAAGUUCGUGCCAGCAGC